rnacentral:rRNA from 1 species
GCUUCCUGCGGAAGACAUUA